rnacentral:rRNA from 1 species
UACGUAGGGAGCAAGCGUUGUCCGGAAUCAUUGGGCGUAAAGCGCGCGUAGGUGGCCUCAUAAGUCCGCUGUGAAAGUCAAAAGGCUCAACCUUUGAAAGCCGGUGGAUACUGUGAGGCUAGAGUACGGAAGAGGCGAGUGGAAUUCCUGGUGUAGCGGUGAAAUGCGCAGAUAUCAGGAAGAACACCCGUGGCGAAGGCGGCUCUCUGGGACGGUACUGACGCUGAGACGCGAAAGCGUGGGGAGCAAACAGG